AUGGCUCUGAGGCUGUGGGCGAGCUCAGCUGCCAAUGCCCUCAAGAUUUCAAGCAGCGGCGCCAGGGCUGCUGCCCCGGCCUAUUCGAUCUCCAGAUACUUCUCCACUGUUAUUGAUGGCUUGAAGUACACUUCCUCCCACGAGUGGGUCAAGAACGACGGCUCCGUGGCCACGAUUGGCAUCAGUGACCACGCCCAGGGCCAUCUCGGGGAGGUGGUGUUCGUGGAGCUGCCGGAGGCCGGCACGAAGGUGAGCCAGGGCGGAGCCUUCGGCAACGUGGAGAGUGUGAAGGCCACCAGCGACGUCAACUCGCCCAUCUCCGGCGAGGUCGUCGAGGUCAACUCAAAGCUGUCCGAGACCCCCGGCCUUAUCAACUCGAGCCCGUACGAGGAGGGGUGGAUGAUCAAGGUGAAGCCGAGCAGCCCGGCGGAGCUGGAGGGCCUGCUGGACUCGGCCAAGUACACCAAGCACUGCGAGGAGGAGGACGCCCACUAG
rnacentral:rRNA from 1 species